GUAGCAUAAUCAUUAGUUUUUUAAUUGAAGGCUGGAAUGAAUGGUUGGACGAAAUAAUGACUGUUUCAUAUAAAUUUAAAUUAGAAAUUUAUAUUUUAGUUAAAAAGCUAAAAUUUAAUUAAAAGACGAGAAGACCCUAUAAAUCUUUAUAUUAUGUUAAUAUUUAUUAUUUAGUAAAUUAAAUUAAUUAUUAGUAAUGGUAUUUUAUUGGGGUGAUAUUAAAAUUUAAUGAACUUUUAAUUAAUUAUUACAUUAAUUUAUGAUUAGUUGAUCCAUUAUUAUUGAUUAGUAGAAUAAGUUACUUUAGGGAUAACAGCGUAAUUUUUUUGAAGAGUUCAUAUCGAUAAAAAAGAUUGCGACCUCGAUGUUGGA
rnacentral:rRNA from 1 species